CUGGGGAAUGGCAUGGGCGCAGCCUGAUGCAGCAACGCCGCGUGAGGGACGACGGCCUUCGGGUUGUAAACCUCUUUUAGCAGGGAAGAAGCCUUCGGGUGACGGUACCUGCAGAAAAAGCACCGGCUAACUACGUGCCAGCAGCCGCGGUAAUACGUAGGGUGCAAGCGUUAUCCGGAAUUAUUGGGCGUAAAGAGCUCGUAGGCGGUCUGUCGCGUCUGCUGUGAAAACCCGAGGCUCAACCUCGGGCCUGCAGUGGGUACGGGCAGACUAGAGUGCGGUAGGGGAGAUUGGAAUUCCUGGUGUAGCGGUGGAAUGCGCAGAUAUCAGGAGGAACACCGAUGGCGAAGGCAGAUCUCUGGGCCGUAACUGACGCUGAGGAGCGAAAGGGUGGGGAGCAAACAGGCUUAGAUACCCUGGUAGUCCACCCCGUAAACGUUGGGAACUAGUUGUGGGGUCCAUUCCACGGAUUCCGUGACGCAGCUAACGCAUUAAGUUCCCCGCCUGGGGAGUACGGCCGCAAGGCUAAAACUCAAAGGAAUUGACGGGGACCCGCACAAGCGGCGGAGCAUGCGGAUUAAUUCGAUGCAACGCGAAGAACCUUACCAAGGCUUGACAUAUACGAGAACGGGCCAGAAAUGGUCAACUCUUUGGACACUCGUAAACAGGUGGUGCAUGGUUGUCGUCAGCUCGUGUCGUGAGAUGUUGGGUUAAGUCCCGCAACGAGCGCAACCCUCGUUCUAUGUUGCCAGCACGUAAUGAUGGGAACUCAUGGAUACUGCCCGGGGUCAACUCGGAGGAAGGUGGGGAUGACGUCAAAUCAAUCAUGG
rnacentral:rRNA from 1 species